rnacentral:rRNA from 1 species
UACGUAGGUGGCAAGCGUUGUCCGGAAUUAUUGGGCGUAAAGCGCGCGCAGGCGGCCUCUUAAGUCUGAUGUGAAAGCCCCCGGCUCAACCGGGGAGGGCCAUUGGAAACUGGGAGGCUUGAGUAUAGGAGAGAAGAGUGGAAUUCCACGUGUAGGCGGUGAAAUGCGUAGAGAGUGUGGAGGAACACCAGUGGCGAAGGC